AAUAUCCCAUCUCCAUCAUCCAGAGGCAGAAAAUGAGUUGUGUGUUUGGGGAAAGAAUUUCCUCCUUUCUCUGUGGCAGGAGUCAUUCCAUAUGGGUUUUGGGGUGUGGCGAGGAGGCAUGCCAGGGCUCCCCACCAGGAAGAUGCUGAGAUGCUUAGAAUGGGUUCAUGACCAGUAAGCAGUCUUGUCUGGGAGUAGGUAUAAGCUGUUUUCUAUGUAGGGUCUUCCCUAAGCUUCCAGCAAGGUCUUUACAAGGCUCACCUUCAUGUGAUCUGUGCUCUGAGAAACUCAAUGGAGCAGGGUCCUGUCCUACAACCUGGAGUUGGAGGAAGAGUGGCCAUCCACAGUGGAGGAACCACAGCUGUGACAACACACCCCUCAGUGUUAUCAGCAGCAACAGAGGCCUGAGGACAACAGAUGUCAAAGAGCAAGCAAUGAAGCAACAUGUUCCAGAGCACAGAUUUGUUACAAGAUGAAUAAUGUGGUAGAAUAUUAAAAAUUAUUCUACAAAGAUUUUCAAAUUGCUGCAGUUGAAGAUUGACUUAAGCGAAAAGUGACAAAGACAAGGAGAAAAGUGUCGGAGACUAAGAUGUGCAUCGAUGGGGUAGACGAAAUUGAUGCCAGGAAUGGUCUGGAAGAGAAGGCAAUCUAAUAUUUCAGCCCGCUGGCACACGAAUACAAAAUCAGGAAACUGUUGACGAGUAUUGAGCAGCAACCCAGCAACUUAAAUGUAUAACUGAAAAGAAAAGGCAAAGACAUCUGGAGAGUAGAUUGAAACUGCAUUGUCAAACGAAUAAGAAAGCAUGUUUACUGAAAGUGACAUGGACCUCCAACGCUACUUCAUUUCUGUGGUAACACAGAGACUUCCAACAAAGUGAAACAGCACCCGUGACUCCACAGCCUCUUGUACUUAUCCAAGCAAACAAUAAAAAAAGCUUUUCCACAAAGUCUGAUUAUUUACAAUUACGAUAUAAAGCAUCACUGUAUACAC
rnacentral:lncRNA from 1 species